AAACUUAUAAUCAUGGUGGAAGGUGAAA
rnacentral:piRNA from 1 species